rnacentral:rRNA from 1 species
UACAGAGGUCUCAAGCGUUGUUCGGAUUCAUUGGGCGUAAAGGGUGCGUAGGCGGCGCGGUAAGUCGGGUGUGAAAUCUCGGAGCUUAACUCCGAAACUGCAUUCGAUACUGCCGUGCUUGAGGACUGGAGAGGAGACUGGAAUUUACGGUGUAGCGGUGAAAUGCGCAGAUAUCAGGAAGAACACCCGUGGCGAAGGCGGUUCUCUGGGACGGUACUGACGCUGAGACGCGAAAGCGUGGGGAGCGAACAGG